CGGUUAACGGAGCGAAAGCGACGUUCAACCUCAAAAGAAGCAGAGGGGGCUUAGUGGUGGGGUGACUGCGUACCUUUUGUAUAAUGGGUCAGCGACUUAUAUUCUGUAGCAAGGUUAACCGAAUAGGGGAGCCGGAGGGAAACCGAGUCUUAACCGGGCGUUAAGUUGCAGGGUAUAGACCCGAAACCCGGUGAUCUAGCCAUGGGCAGGUUGAAGGUUGGGUAACACUAACUGGAGGACCGAACCGACUAAUGUUGAAAAAUUAGCGGAUGACCUGUGGCUGGGGGUGAAAGGCCAAUCAAACCGGGAGAUAGCUGGUUCUCCCCGAAAGCUAUUUAGGUAGCGCCUCGUGAAUUCAUCUCCGGGGGUAGAGCACUGUUUCGGCUAGGGGGCCAUCCCGGCUUACCAACCCGAUGCAAACUGCGAAUACCGGAGAAUGUUAUCACGGGAGACACACGGCGGGUGCUAACGUCCGUCGUGAAGAGGGAAACAACCCAGACCGCCAGCUAAGGUCCCAAAGUCAUGGUUAAGUGGGAAACGAUGUGGGAAGGCCCAGACAGCCAGGAUGUUGGCUUAGAAGCAGCCAUCAUUUAAAGAAAGCGUAAUAGCUCACUGGUCGAGUCGGCCUGCGCGGAAGAUGUAACGGGGCUAAACCAUG
rnacentral:rRNA from 1 species